AGUAACGCGUGGGUAACCUGCCUCAUACAGGGGGAUAACAGUUAGAAAUGGCUGCUAAUACCGCAUAAGCGCACGGUACUGCAUGGUACAGUGUGAAAAACUCCGGUGGUAUGAGAUGGACCCGCGUUGGAUUAGCUAGUUGGCAGGGUAACGGCCUACCAAGGCGACGAUCCAUAGCCGGCCUGAGAGGGUGGACGGCCACAUUGGGACUGAGACACGGCCCAGACUCC
rnacentral:rRNA from 1 species